rnacentral:rRNA from 1 species
UACGGAGGGUGCGAGCGUUGUCCGGAAUCAUUGGGCGUAAAGGGCGCGUAGGUGGCCCGGUCAGUUCGUGGUGAAAGCGCGGGGCUCAACUCCGCGUCGGCCAUGAAUACUGCUGGGCUUGAGCACUGUAGAGGCAGGCGGAAUUCCGGGUGUAGCGGUGGAAUGCGUAGAGAUCCGGAAGAACACCGGUGGCGAAGGCAGUGUCCUGGGGAGUACCUGACGCUCAGGUGCGAAAGCCAGGGGAGCGAACGGG